rnacentral:rRNA from 1 species
UACAGAGGUUGCGAGCGUUAAUCGGAAUGACUGGGCGUAAAGGGCGCGUAGGUGGAUAAUUGUGUUGGAUGUGAAAGCCCCGGGCUUAACCUGGGAAUUGCAUUCAAAACUGAUUAUCUAGAGUGAAGCAGAGGUGAGUGGAAUUUCCGGAGUAGCGGUGAAAUGCGUAGAUACCGGAAGGAACACCAGUGGCGAAGGCGACUCACUGGGCUUUUACUGACACUGAGGCGCGAAAGCGUGGGGAGCAAACAGG